GGCAAAGUUGAGUGAUAUAGACCAUCUGGUUAUCUCCCAUUUUCUUCUCACUUGACAUAAACGAUACUCAGAAUAUGGGUAUCAAAAUUCAUGACGACACAGGUAUCAAAACAAAGCAGCUCAUUGUGAUAUUUCUACCAAGGAGCAACCUGACAAUAGUGAAAACAAGAUACAUAUCCUGCUGUGCCAAUGCCUUACCAUCUUUCAAAGAACAUCUCUGUAGCAAAGGUCCAGGUGGCAGAAGGCGAGCUGAUUCAUAAAUAGU
rnacentral:misc_RNA from 1 species